CUCACGCUGCUGCAGUCCAGGGAUUCUCCCAGUCACCGGCCCUGGUGUUCCCCGCCGUCGGCAUCUUCAUUUGCGAUUCUAUCGGCGACGAGCUCUUCUUCUUUCCUUCUCUGGUUCCGGAACUCCUUUCUUUUAUGACUCCCAUCCACAAAGAGGGCACACAAAUAUUAAUCCCCUUUCAACCCCUCAUCUUCGACAGUUUGUGCUUCCAGAUCAGUUGGGUCGGCGCUGGCAGUUUGGGGUGCUGGAAGGAGAGAUACUCGAGAAAGGGGCAUGUGGUGUUCGUGGAGAACCAGUGAUCGAUGCAAUCAAUGUGGCAGAGCAUCUGGCAAAAAUGACUUGAGGCGCCAAACUGAAUCCAAGUUACAUUUUAUUUUCUUGGUUUGUUCUUUACAUUAUAGUUCGCAAAGGAUCGAAUCAGGAGUUUCACAUCUACAGCUGAUGUGAUUCUCUGUCUUCUUUUUUCUACUGAAACCAUGCUUAGCAGUGUCGCUGCAAAAAAAAUUCAAGUUCUGCUUCUUCUUCCCGAUUGAUGUGCUGCUAGGUAUCUUGGUCGAUGGAAAGCAAGAACAUCACAUCUGCUUCGAUGUAUGCCAUGGAGCUGCUCUUAGUACAACAAUACAGUGUACUCUGUUUGGUAGUGCAUGCUGAAGCGAUGGCCUGUAUGAUUGGUGCAAUUUCAGCUACGUACUUAUUCCUAUAGUUUCCUGCAGGUUUUCUAUGAGUGUGCCUGGUGUUGCACCGUCGGUGAGUCCGGCCUUCUUCUUCGCCUCCUCCAGUUUUGCGCUUUGAAGAUGGUACUGCUGUGUCGCCGCUUUACCAUGCUGCUGAUACACAUCCAAGGCAGGUGGUACAGACUACAAAAGGAACUAUUGUACUGCAAUUGACCUCCAAUCGUUUUAAUGAAAUGCUCAGCCAGGUGAUGCCACAAAAUUUGACACUCCAUAAUGGCCUUCAUCCUUUUACUAGGUCGAUGCAAGUGGUCGGCUGAUGAUGCCCUUGGUUUGGUAAUUCUGUUUCUUUUCUUUGUGCGUGUCGCCCGCAUCUGGGAAUUCAGAGAUCUGGCGACUCGACUAAAUCUAUAUACGGGCAACACAAUGGAGGGCUGUGUGUCGGCCAACGGAAAAGCCCUGUUCAGAGAACAGCUAUAUGAGGGUUCGAUAUCCUGGUUUGAAUCUUUUAUUGUUGCCUUAGCCUGGAGCAAGUACAAGAUGAAUGGUCAAUUGGUCAUCCAUACAUGAUGGCCAUUAUCUUCUCUUAAUAAAAUUUCAUUCUAGAUAAGGAUUGCUUCUUACCAUCUUUUCCCUGCCUUUUCUUCCAAAGUUAUAGACCCGCCUAAUUGAAAAAUUUAGAUGUUGGUACCUUGGACAUGUUUCAGCGUACAGGAUUCUGAUGAUUUUGAAUGUGACUGAUUUUUAAAGUUGUUCCUUGGCUUGGUGUUCUGAGGACGGACUAUUUCUUUUCAAUUAUGCUCCAUUUUGUGGAUAGAAAAUGUUUCUGUCCUUGAUUAUCAACGAGUUGAGCUAUGAUGAUCUUUGCUGAACUGCAGGUAUAGGGGAGAAUGGAGGGCCAAACCUGGACCUAAAACAAAGAGGUCUUUAUAAAGGAACCAGCAAAUAAAAGCUACAUGAACGAUUUGAAUUACUCCUUCCAUGUGUACAGAAUAUUCUCCUAGGAUAUUACUAUGGCAGAUGUUGGAUUUUACAAAUGAUACCAUGUUUGAAAACUCAUGGGAUUUCUGUUUUGGGAGCCAAGUCAGAGAGCUCCAACUAUGUCUCAUAAUAAGCUAAAGCUGCAUUAGCCAACUUUUCAAUAAUUGAAGAAACAAAUGCUUUGCGAAGACCAUGUCCAGAGAGUUUCAUGGGAUUUGUGUUUUGGGUGCCAUAUCAGAGGAGAGCUUUGACUGUGUAUCAUUCAAGUUGCAUUAGACAAUUUUUAGAAUCGCUGCGACUUCUUGGGGAUGUGCUUUCAAAUGUAUGUGCAAUGGCAUCCCUCACUUAAGUUGUUAUGUGAGGCUGACAGUCAAUAUGUAAGCUAACAUGUUACUUCCAGCUGUUCAGAUGGCAUGUACUAAAACCUU